AAAAAAAAAAAAAGAUGAACAAACUAAAAGGAGAUAUUUCUAACAUGUAAAACUAUAAGGAAUUAGUAUGCAGAAUUUCUAAAGAACUCCUACAUAUCUGUAAGAAAGGGGAAGAUGUCAAAAGACAUAAAUGUGUUAUUUCACAGAAGAAACACAAAUAGCAAAUAAACAUGAAAUAAUGCUUAAUCUUCUUAGUAACCAUAGAAGGGCCAAUCAGAACAGUAAGAUUCCACUUAAAUCACAAAACCUCAAAGCCAAAAUAUGGAGAAACUCGACACUCUUGAAUGCUGAUGUUCUGAACAGAAAUUGGUACAACCACUUUGGAAAAUAAUUUGGUAUUAUCCCAUGAAGAUACAAAUGUGCAUAAUCCUUCCUUUCUCUUCCUUCUGCAUAUAUCCUAGAGAAAUACUGGCCUGGGAACCUACUGUAUAUGUACACAAGGAGCUGGGUAGAAGAUUUUCAUAGCAUCACUUUUGUUCAUCACAACAAAAUCAGAAACGAUACAAAGGUCCAUCAGCAGGAAAAUUAGUAACUUAGUUGUGGAAUCACAACACAGUAGAUAAUCCUACAGUAGUGAAGAGGUGAGGAAACUGAGACCCACAGACAGUUAUAUAACUUGCUCAAGUCAUAUAACCAGACCUUGCAGAUGGUUUUCUCAGAAUAAAGAUGGGUGGACCCCAACCCAAGACAAGGCAAUCCAGACUCACUGAUCUGUACCACGCAGCUGGCUCCCAACUCCGGCCCCACUAUGUGGCUCCCAACACACUUGAACUUCUUGCCAUCUGACAGCUGGGACUGGUUCAGCAUCUUUACCCCCAGCUUUGACAUCCCCACGACCACACCUCCUGGCUCUUCUGUCCACAGGAAGUCUGGGUCUGGGUAUCCUCCGUCCCAGCGACAGGUGAGCUGCAGCAUGAGCGAUCCUUGUGACAUCUCUGCCCAACACUGAGGGGCUGAUGGAGGGGGAACUGAAAAACACCAGAGGAUGUGGACUUAGUCACAGGCUCUAAGAUCAGCCCUUGAGCUGGCUCUAGGGAUUACAGAACCAGGGUAUCAGAGAAACAUCAUGCCCAGUGAGCAUACCCCGAAAUAGAUCCUUAGCACAAACUAGUUGUGUCACAACUUAUCUCCUGGGCUAAGUGUUACAUCUCCAAGGAUGUGGGCCUCAUUCAUCUUUGCAUUUCUCACUAGCCACAAUGGCCUUUAAGUGUGGCUAUUUGCAUUUAAAUUAAUUGUAUUCCAUUACAAACUUAGUUCUUCCAUCAUACCACACACAUUUCAAGGGCUCCAGAACCAGAUGUGGUGGGUGGCCACUGUAUGGAACCACACAGAAUAGAACAUCUCCAUCAUCAAAAAAGUCCUACUGAACAGUGCUGGUCCCCAGGGGGAGUUACAGGUGGGAUUCACUCCCACCUCUUAUUAACAUAUACCUCCUUUUUAUUAUAUGCAUAUAUUACUUAACAUAUAUUUCCUUUUUAUUAACAUAUACCUUUUUAUUAUGUGCAUAUAUUACUAAACACAUAAAAAUUUAACAAGUUAUAAAGUUAGAAAUCCAAUGUAACCCAUGUGUUAAUAACUAUAUAUGAAUGGGCCCCCAGGUGGCUUGGCGGUUUGGCGCUGCCUUCAGCCCAGGGCCUGAUCCUGGAGACCCAGGAUCGAGUCCCACAUCAGGCUCCCUGCAGGGAGA